rnacentral:rRNA from 1 species
CCUACGGGUGGCUGCAGUGAGGAAUAUUGGUCAAUGGGCGAGAGCCUGAACCAGCCAUCCCGCGUGCAGGAAGACGGCCCUAUGGGUUGUAAACUGCUUUUGCGCAUGAAGAAUGUUACCGACGUGUCGGUAAGUGACGGUAAUGCGUGAAUAAGCAUCGGCUAACUCCGUGCCAGCAGCCGCGGUAAUACGGAGGAUGCAAGCGUUAUCCGGAUUUAUUGGGUUUAAAGGGUGCGUAGGCGGCCUUGUAAGUCAGUGGUGAAAACCUGCAGCUC